rnacentral:rRNA from 1 species
AUUGAACGCUGGCGACAUGCCUUACACAUGCAAGUCGAACGGCAGCACGGGUGCUUGCACCUGGUGGCGAGUGGCGAACGGGUGAGUAAUACAUCGGAACAUGUCCUGUAGUGGGGGAUAGCCCGGCGAAAGCCGGAUUAAUACCGCAUACGAUCUACGGAUGAAAGCGGGGGACCUUCGGGCCUCGCGCUAUAGGGUUGGCCGAUGGCUGAUUAGCUAGUUGGGGGGGUAAAGGCCUACCAAGGCGACGAUCAGUAGCUGGUCUGAGAGGACGACCAGUCACACUGGGACUGAGACACGGCCCAGACUCCUACGGGAGGCAGCAGUGGGGAAUUUUGGACAAUGGGCGAAAGCCUGAUCCAGCAAUGCCGCGUGUGUGAAGAAGGCCUUCGGGUUGUAAAGCACUUUUGUCCGGAAAGAAAUCCUUGGCCCUAAUACGGUCGGGGGAUGACGGUACCGGAAGAAUAAGCACCGGCUAACUACGUG